GAUGAACGCUAGCGGCAGGCUUAAUACAUGCAAGUCGAGGGGCAGCACGAAUAGCAAUAUUUGGUGGCGACCGGCAAACGGGUGCGGAACACGUACGCAACCUUCCCAAAAUUGGUGAGUAGCCCUCCGAAAGGAGGAUUAAUACACCGUAACAUAAUUUGAUGGCAUCAUUGGAUUAUUAUAGCUCCGGCGAUUUUGGAUGGGCGUGCGCCUGAUUAGGUAGUUGGUAGGGUAACGGCCUACCAAGCCAACGAUCAGUAACUGGUGUGAGAGCACGACCAGUCACACGGGCACUGAGACACGGGCCCGACUCCUACGGGAGGCAGCAGUAAGGAUAUUGGGUCAAUGGACGCAAGUCUGAACCAGCCAUGCCGCGUGAAGGAUGAAGGUCCUC
rnacentral:rRNA from 1 species